GGCGAUCAGAUACCGCCCUAGUUCUGACCGUAAACGAUGCCAACUAGCGAUCCGCCGGCGGAUUCAUUCGCCCUGGUGGGGAGCUUCCCGGAAACGAAAGUCUUCCGGUUCCGGGGGAAGUAUGGUUGCAAAGCUGAAACUUAAAGGAAUUGACGGAAGGGCACCACCAGGAGUGGAGCCUGCGGCUUAAUUUGACUCAACACGGGGAAACUCACCCGGCCCGGACACCGUAAGGAUUGACAGAUUGAUAGCUUUUUCAUGAUUCGGUGGAUGGUGGUGCAUGGCCGUUCUUAGUUCGUGGAGCGAUUUGUCUGGUUUAUUCCGAUAACGAGCGAGACUCUGGCUUACUAAAUAGUUGGCACAUUGCCACUGUGUGCACAACUUCUUAGAGGGAUUUUCGGUGUUCAGCCGCACGAAAUUGAGCAAUAACAGGUCUGUGAUGCCCUUAGAUGUCCGGGGCUGCACGCGCGCUACACUGGCAAAAUCAGCGUGCUUGUCCUCCCCCGAAAGGGGUUGGUAAACCGAUGAAAAUUUGCCGUGAUUGGGAUCGGACAUUGCAAUUAUUGUCCGUGAACGAGGAAUUCCUUGUAAGGGCGAGUCAUCAACUCGUCCUGAAUACGUCCCUGCCCUUGUA
rnacentral:rRNA from 1 species